rnacentral:rRNA from 1 species
AGUGAACGCUGGCAGCAGGCCUAACACAUGCAAGUCGAACGGCAGCACGGCAGUAGCAAUACUGUGGGUGGCGAGUGGCGGACGGGUGAGGAAUACAUCGGGAUCUACCCUGUUGUGGGGGAUAACGUAGGGAAACUUACGCUAAUACCGCAUAAGAACUGAGGUUGAAAGCGGCGGACCGCAAGGCGUCGCGCGAUUGGAUGAACCGAUGUCCGAUUAGCUAGUUGGCGGGGUAAAGGCCCACCAAGGCGACGAUCGGUAGCUGGUCUGAGAGGACGACCAGCCACACUGGAACUGAGACACGGUCCAGACUCCUACGGAGGCAGCAGUGGGGAAUAUUGGACAAUGGGCGCAAGCCUGAUCCAGCCAUGCCGCGUGGGUGAAGAAGGCC